CUGGCUCAGGAUGAACGCUAGCGGCAGGCUUAAUACAUGCAAGUCGAACGGGAUUCAGGUAGCAAUACUUGAUGAGAGUGGCGCACGGGUGCGUAACACGUAUGCAACCUACCUUUAACUGGUGAAUAGCCCCGGGAAAUCGGGAUUAAUACACCAUAACAUUACAAGAGGGCAUCCUCUAAUAAUUAAAGAACUUCGGUUAAAGAUGGGCAUGCGGGACAUUAGCUAGUUGGUGAGGUAACGGCUCACCAAGGCAACGAUGUCUAGGGGUCCUGAGAGGGUUAUCCCCCACACUGGUACUGAGACACGGACCAGACUCCUACGGGAGGCAGCAGUAAGGAAUAUUGGUCAAUGGGCGCAAGCCUGAACCAGCCAUGCCGCGUGAAAAGGAAGACGGCGCUAUGCGUUGUAAACUUCUUUUGUCAGGGAAUAAAUGUAGGUACGUGUACUUACUUGAAGGUACCUGAAGAAUAAGCAUCGGCUAACUCCGUGCCAGCCGCUGC
rnacentral:rRNA from 1 species